GAUGAACGCUGGCGGCAUGCCUAACACAUGCAAGUCGAUCGGUAAGGCUCUUCGGAGUACACGAGAGGCGGACGGCUGAGUAACGCGUAGGAACACACCCUGCAGUGAGGGAUAAGACACCGAAAGGUGUUCUAAUACCGCAUACGGUCUUCGGAUUAAAGCAUUUAUGCGCUGAAGGAGUGGCCUGCGUCAUAUUAGAUAGUUGGUGAGGUAAUGGCUCACCAAGUCGAUGAUGUGUAGCUGGUCUGAGAGGAUGAUCAGCCAGACUGGAACUGAGACACGGUCCAGACUCCUACGGGAGGCAGCAGUGAGAAAUAUUUCACAAUGGGCGAAAGCUUGAGGGAGCAAGGCGGCGUGCAGGAUGAAGGCCCUCGGGUUGUAAACUGCUUUUAUAAGAGAAGAUUAGGACGGAAACUUAUGAAUAAGGGACGGCUACUACGUG
rnacentral:rRNA from 1 species